rnacentral:rRNA from 1 species
UUGAGCGCUGGCGGCAUGCUUUACACAUGCAAGUCGAACGGCAGCGCGGGCUUCGGCCUGGCGGCGAGUGGCGAACGGGUGAGUAAUACAUCGGAACGUGCCCAGUAGUGGGGGAUAGCUCGGCGAAAGCCGGAUUAAUACCGCAUACGACCUGAGGGUGAAAGCGGGGGAUCUUCGGACCUCGCGCUAUUGGAGCGGCCGAUGGCAGAUUAGCUAGUUGGUGGGGUAAAGGCCUACCAAGGCGACGAUCUGUAGCUGGUCUGAGAGGACGACCAGCCACACUAGGACUGAGACACGGCCCAGACUCCUACGGGAGGCAGCAGUGGGGAAUUUUGGACAAUGGGCGAAAGCCUGAUCCAGCAAUGCCGCGUGUGUGAUGAAGGCCUUCGGGUUGUAAAGCACUUUUGGCGGGAACGAAAAGGACUGUGCCAAUACCACGGUUCGAUGACGGUACCCGCAGAAUAAGCACCGGCUAACUACGUG